rnacentral:rRNA from 1 species
GGUUAAGUCCCGCAACGAGCGCAACCCUUGUCCUUAGUUGCCAGCCUUAAUUGGGCACUCUAAGGAGACUGCCGGUGACAAACCGGAGGAAGUGGGGGAUGACGUCAAGCCUCAUGGCCCUUACAGGCUGGGCUACACACGUGCUACAAUGGCAUCUACAGUGAGCAGCGAUCCCGCGAGGGUUAGCUAAUCUCCAAAAGAUGUCUCAGUUCGGAUUGUUCUCUGCAACUCGAGAGCAUGAAGGCGGAAUCGCUAGUAAUCGCGGAUCAGCAUGCCGCGGUGAAUACGUUCCCAGGCCUU